rnacentral:rRNA from 1 species
GGAUUAGAUACCCUGGUAGUCCACGCCGUAAACGAUGAUUACUCGUUUUUGGGUUUAAUGAUUCAGAGACUAAGCGAAAGUGAUAAGUAAUCCACCUGGGGAGUACGUUCGCAAGAAUGAAACUCAAAGGAAUUGACGGGGGCCCGCACAAGCGGUGGAGCAUGUGGUUUAAUUCGAUGAUACGCGAGGAACCUUACCAAGACUUAAAUGGGAAUUGACAGACGCAGAAAUGUGUUUUUCUUCGGACAAUUUUCAAGGUGCUGCAUGGUUGUCGUCAGCUCGUGCCG